AGAGACGCAGCAGACAUCAGUGGAGUUCCCCAGCGCCGCCGAGCCGGGGACGUCUGGAGCCACGUGACCUUACCUUCCAGCAGAAAUCCUCUGAGGUUAGCGUGUGGAUGGAGCAGAGCAGAGGUUAGUGCGCGUUAGAGGAGUUAAAGGUUAACUGCAGCUGAAGGAAAUGAUCUGGAUUGUUUGGGAAAAGCAAGCUUCAGAGGAACAAUGCUGUGAAAAUGGCAUCGACUGGCAGAUUUCUGAAUGGUUACCAUCAGAAUAAACACAAAAUGCAGUUUUUAAGUGACGGCUUCAUUCAGACCGUUGGCCCUGUCUUCUUGGCUGAUUGGGUUUAAUUCAAACUGUUUAAGUUCAAACCUUGACUAGGCCUCUUAAAACUCUGAUUUUCUUUGUGGAGCCAAUCAGAAGUGGACUUAAUUGUGUGAAAUGGAUAAUCCUACAGUCUUAAAAAAUGACUUGGUUGCCCUUUCCAGACUAAUGGAUGUCAAAGAGUUUUUCUAAUCUGUUCCUGGAUUUUUUGUUAGAUGUUUUGCUUUUAGUCUUCUGGACAAAUUCUACUUAAGUUAUUUCCAAACGCUGCAGAUCUGGGGUUAAUCAGGCCAGGGUGAAGCUAGUGAUAUUUAACAAAAAUGUUAAUCAGUUAAUUUGCGAUGGAAAUUAAAAUUUGUAUUUGCAUGUAGGGAGUAAAUGCCUUUUCCUAGGACUGUAAAACAGAUUAAUUGGAGUUAGUAGUGAAUUGUUUUUUCUUUUUAUACAUUACAAUUGAUCCAAGCAAUGCAUUAAAAUCAGGGUUAUUGUGGUGCCUUAAAUAUGUUCACUUUCACGGACGCACCCUAGGCUCAAAUACUCCUUUUUAUGAGUUUGAAGCCAAUCUGUGCUCCAAUUUCAUACCCAUGUACCAAACUACAAAAAA